rnacentral:rRNA from 1 species
GAUGAACGCUAGCGGCAGGCUUAACACAUGCAAGUCGAGGGGCAGCAUGAGUGUUAGCAAUAACACUUGAUGGCGACCGGCGCAAGGGUGCGUAACGCGUGAGCAACUUGCCCUUAUCAGGGGGAUAACCAAUGGAAACGUUGACUAAUACCCCAUAGUAUAGCUUUGAGGCAUCUCUUAGUUAUUAAAGAAUUUCGGAUAAGGAUAGGCUCGCGUGACAUUAGCUAGAUGGCGGGGUAACGGCCCACCAUGGCGACGAUGUCUAGGGGUUCUGAGAGGCUUAUCCCCCACAUUGGGACUGAGACACGGCCCAA